rnacentral:rRNA from 2 species
UGCUGUGAACUCGAAGAGUAGGGCGGGACACGUGGUAUCCUGUCUGAAUAUGGGGGGACCAUCCUCCAAGGCUAAAUACUCCUGACUGACCGAUAGUGAACCAGUACCGUGAGGGAAAGGCGAAAAGAACCCCGGCGAGGGGAGUGAAAAAGAACCUGAAACCGUGUACGUACAAGCAGUGGGAGCCUCUUUAUGGGGUGACUGCGUACCUUUUGUAUAAUGGGUCAGCGACUUAUAUUCUGUAGCAAGGUUAACCGUAUAGGGGAGCCGAAGGGAAACCGAGUCUUAACUGGGCGUUAAGUUGCAGGGUAUAGACCCGAAACCCGGUGAUCUAGCCAUGGGCAGGUUGAAGGUUGGGUAACACUAACUGGAGGACCGAACCGACUAAUGUUGAAAAAUUAGCGGAUGACCUGUGGCUGGGGGUGAAAGGCCAAUCAAACCGGGAGAUAGCUGGUUCUCCCCGAAAGCUAUUUAGGUAGCGCCUCGUGAACUCAUCUUCGGGGGUAGAGCACUGUUUCGGCUAGGGGGCCAUCCCGGCUUACCAACCCGAUGCAAACUACGAAUACCGAAGAAUGUUAUCACGGGAGACACACGGCGGGUGCUAACGUCCGUCGUGAAGAGGGAAACAACCCAGACCGCCAGCUAAGGUCCCAAAGUCAUGGUUAAGUGGGAAACGAUGUGGGAAGGCACAGACAGCCAGGAUGUUGGCUUAGAAGCAGCCAUCAUUUAAAGAAAGCGUAAUAGCUCACUGGUCGAGUCGGCCUGCGCGGAAGAUGUAACGGGGCUAAACCAUGCACCGAAGCUGCGGCAGCGACGCUUAUGCGUUGUUGGGUAGGGGAGCGUUCUGUAAGCCGUCGAAGGUGUGCUGUGAGGCAUGCUGGAGGUAUCAGAAGUGCGAAUGCUGACAUAAGUAACGAUAAAGCGGGUGAAAAGCCCGCUCGCCGGAAGACCAAGGGUUCCUGUCCAACGUUAAUCGGGGCAGGGUGAGUCGACCCCUAAGGCGAGGCCGAAAGGCGUAGUCGAUGGGAAACAGGUUAAUAUUCCUGUACUUGGUGUUACUGCGAAGGGGGGACGGAGAAGGCUAUGUCAGCCGGGCGACGGUUGUCCCGGUUUAAGCAUGUAGGCGGAGGUUCCAGGUAAAUCCGGUACCUUUUAACGCUGAGGUGUGAUGACGAGGCACUACGGUGCUGAAGUGAUAAAUGCCCUGCUUCCAGGAAAAGCCUCUAAGCAUCAGGUAACACGAAAUCGUACCCCAAACCGACACAGGUGGUCAGGUAGAGAAUACCAAGGCGCUUGAGAGAACUCGGGUGAAGGAACUAGGCAAAAUGGUGCCGUAACUUCGGGAGAAGGCACGCUGAUGUGUAGGUGAAGCCCCUGCGGGUGGAGCUGAAAUCAGUCGAAGAUACCAGCUGGCUGCAACUGUUUAUUAAAAACACAGCACUGUGCAAACACGAAAGUGGACGUAUACGGUGUGACGCCUGCCCGGUGCCGGAAGGUUAAUUGAUGGGGUUAGCGGCAACGCGAAGCUCUUGAUCGAAGCCCCGGUAAACGGCGGCCGUAACUAUAACGGUCCUAAGGUAGCGAAAUUCCUUGUCGGGUAAGUUCCGACCUGCACGAAUGGCGUAAUGAUGGCCAGGCUGUCUCCACCCGAGACUCAGUGAAAUUGAACUCGCUGUGAAGAUGCAGUGUACCCGCGGCAAGACGGAAAGACCCCGUGAACCUUUACUAUAGCUUGACACUGAACACUGGUCCUUGAUGUGUAGGAUAGGUGGGAGGCUUUGAAGCGUGGACGCCAGUCUGCGUGGAGCCAACCUUGAAAUACCACCCUUUAAUGGCUGGUGUUCUAACGUAGACCCGUUACCCGGGUUGCGGACAGUGUCUGGUGGGUAGUUUGACUGGGGCGGUCUCCUCCCAAAGAGUAACGGAGGAGCACGAAGGUUGGCUAAUCCUGGUCGGACAUCAGGAGGUUAGUGCAAUGGCAUAAGCCAGCUUGACUGCGAGCGUGACGGCGCGAGCAGGUGCGAAAGCAGGUCAUAGUGAUCCGGUGGUUCUGAAUGGAAGGGCCAUCGCUCAACGGAUAAAAGGUACUCCGGGGAUAACAGGCUGAUACCGCCCAAGAGUUCAUAUCGACGGCGGUGUUUGGCACCUCGAUGUCGGCUCAUCACAUCCUGGGGCUGAAGUAGGUCCCAAGGGUAUGGCUGUUCGCCAUUUAAAGUGGUACGCGAGCUGGGUUUAGAACGUCGUGAGACAGUUCGGUCCCUAUCUGCCGUGGGCGCUGGAGAAUUGAGGGGGGCUGCUCCUAGUACGAGAGGACCGGAGUGGACGCAUCACUGGUGUUCGGGUUGUCAUGCCAAUGGCACUGCCCGGUAGCUAAAUGCGGAAGAGAUAAGUGCUGAAAGCAUCUAAGCACGAAACUUGCCCCGAGAUGAGUUCUCCCUGAGACCUUGAGUCUCCUGAAGGAACGUUAAAGACGAUGACGUUGAUAGGUCGGGUGUGUAAGCGCAGCGAUGCGUUGAGCUAACCGAUACUAAUGAACCGUGAGGCUUAACCUU